rnacentral:rRNA from 1 species
UACGUAGGUGGCGAGCGUUGUCCGGAAUUACUGGGCGUAAAGGGCGCGCAGGCGGCCUGUUAAGUCAGAUGUGAAAUCCCCGGGCUUAACCCGGGAAUGGCAUUUGAAACUGGCGGGCUUGAGGGCAGGAGAGGAAAGCGGAACUCCCAGUGUAGCGGUGAAAUGCGUAGAUAUUGGGAGGAACACCAGUGGCGAAGGCGGCUUUCUGGACUGUACCUGACGCUGAGGUGCGAAAGCCAGGGGAGCGAACGGG